CCCUCAUCGCCCUCAUGCUGCAGCGGGAGCCCGCGGCACGGCCCGGCCCCGCACGGCUGCUGCAGCACCCCUUCCUCACACAGGGUUUCACACCCCACACGCUGCCGCCCCGUGCCUGCCACUCCGUGCCCAUCUUCGUGGGACAGGAGCCCCUGUGCUGGAUGCUGCGGUGCUGUGUCCCUGUCACCCCUGCCCAAAGGAGCUGAGCCCCAACAUCUGCGGAGGAAAACUUUUAUUAGUGCUGGGAACCGUCUAAAAUCCAGAAAUCCAGUCAUGGAAACAAGCAGGGGGUGGGACGUGACCAGAACGGACAG